CAUCGCUGCGUUCUACUCCUUUUAUUUGCUUCCUCCGCCUGGUCACACCAUUCGUGUGUGAUCGAUGUGCGAUAUCGAUAUCGACGGUGCGGCGUUGCCACCUGCUCGUUGCGAUAUUUCCACCUUUGGCCGAUAUUACCAUUUGACGUGUACCCACCGAUCGCACUUUCAUCUAGUGCCAAUCGAUCGCCUAUCGAGGCGCCCCCUUCCCUGGCUCAUGGUGAUUUUGCAACUUUCUAGCCGGCUGAGCCUGGCUUUACGCUGACAACACUCGAACGCUGGUGCGGAGAGGACUUCGCAUUUGCUUCGCUGCAGGACGCUGGAGCUGCCAUGUAUGCCCCUUACUUCUGGC